rnacentral:lncRNA from 1 species
UGUUAUUUUGUUAAUCCGGGCAUUGUUCAUGAUAAACAGUGUCUUUUGAAGUAACAUUUUUACCGUUUUUGGUUAGAAAGGAAUAGCAUUCACAUAUUUUUACAAGUACUCCAAAUGAAGGCAUGAUGAUCAUGGCUGGGAUGAGGGUUUAGGGUGUAAUAAUAGAGACAGUUUUCUGUCAUGGUAGGGCAGUAUGCAUCACGUGUCUCCAUGACCCUGUAGGCUUAACCCUCAAUGCUGUUGAGGCUUUAUGCUCCACUAGGAGCAUAGAAAAUUUGUUGGGGCAUGGACUCUACUAGGUGUCAAAAGCUCUCCACAGGGAUGCUGGAUGUCCUUUGGGUGGUGGAUCAUUCUUGAUAAACACAGGAAACUGUUGAGUGUGGAAAAACCAAGCAGCGUUGCAGUUCUUGACACAAACCGGUGCGCCUGGCACCUACUACCAUACCCUACCAUAAAUAUUUUUGUCUUGCCAAUUCAUCCUCUGAAUGCCACACAUACACAAUCCAUGUCUCAAGGCUUAAAAAUCAUCCUUUAACCUGUCUUCUCCCCUUCAUCUACACUGAUUGAAGUGGAUUUAACCAGUGACCUCAAUAAGGGAUAAUAGCUUCACCUAGAUUCACCUGGUCAGCAGUAUAUGCCAGGGAAAGAGCAGUUCAUAAUGUGUUGUGUACUCUGUGUAUAUGACUUUACAAAUGUCAAGUUUAUUCAAAUUACAGCUUAAAUACUUUUUUCCCUUAAUGGACCUGUCCGUACACACUCAAGGUGUACAACUGAUAUUUAAAGCAUUUGGCACCGGCUGUGUAAAUAUGUUGUGCCAAACAACUUAUGAGCGUGUAUGUGGACAAUAUGUGUUUGUUUUUCAGGUUGAAGUUGCCCUCCAUCCAGCCCUCCUCAAGAGUAGGAGUGAGGAGAAUGAUAUCAAGUCAAAUGUGUGUAUUUACAGGAAAAGUGUGGUCGAAAUGACGGGUCGCCACUGCUCUGUGGGUUAACUGAGACCUGCCUUGCAUGUAAGUCUAUCUCUCGUGAGGUAUUAGCUACAGUAUCUGCUGUACAGAAACUAUUCCACAAUGGGUGGUAACCAUAUACACAUAGUUCUGCAGUAGACUUAUGAUAUAAAAACAUCUGCUGCCAGUCAACAUGCAUGAGGACCUGUCUGCCUGUCCUCUGAUCAUGCAGGUAACAUCAGUGGAUCAAUCCUCUAUACGUUGUCAAGGAUGAAGAAUAAUGAGUAAAAACGCUGUCCAAGCUCUGUCCCAAUCCCAAACUAAUAUCACCCAGGAAUACACUGGGUACGACACCUCUCCUUCAGCUCUCCACCUUUCCUUUCCUCUCUUCUUCUCUCCACUCUCAUCCCAACCUAGGUCAAGUGACCUUCUCUGUUCGCAAUGGCAUCAGUGACGGAACUAGAGUUUUAUACAUGGGGUGGCCAAGGUUACUUCAGGGGGUCCAUAGACCAAUUCAGAAAAUGUGUGUAUAACCCUAAGCUGGCAUCUAAGGAGCAUGAAUGAAUCCUAUGAUUGCUGAUUAGAGGUAGAAGUGAUAAUUCACUUAACCUGGAGUUCUUCGAUGUGGCAGAUAGUGUGGUCCAAAAGGGUUACUUCACUAGAAUACUUUAACAUACUAUGAAUAGUCAGUGUCUCUACCUCGGAACUGCAGCUCAAUUUCUUUCUCUCACACACACACUGUACUGUACUCACAUACUGAAGAGACUUAGGUCACUCUGUUUUCAUGAAUAUAUGAUCUGGGUCUUUAAGUGUUGAACAUCUAAAAUAUUUUCAGAAAAUAAAUCUCAAGCACCAAGGAGAUAAGAUAGCAUGUUUGUUACAUAAAUUGCAUAGUUUAUUUACAAAAAAACACUGCAAUUUGACAUACCAGGUACCAAACAGAAAUGGACUUCAAAAAUAUAAAUAAUUUUGGUGCCCAUCAAUAUUACAAACUUACAGUAACAUACUUAUUCUCAUAGAUAUAUUAUGUUAACUAAUAGCAAAGAAAACUUUUGGAAUUGGCCAAAUCAAGACCAAAUUAAAACUGUGUGACAUGAUACCCUUUGGAUUUAUAAUUUUAGAAUGUCAGUGUACUAGCUAGUACACAGUGCAGGUUUUAAUCAUGACCAGAGAGACCACCUAAGUGCCAAAUUAUCAUAGGUAGAUUUAAAAUGGCAUAAUUCUGAUGUUCUGGUGAGAACUGGCAAAAUGUUUCACAAACUCAUCCAUGUUGAGGGAGCGUGCCCUCCUUGACUCAACAGAUAAUUUUUAGGUGACAACCUGUCAUCAACCAUUGUUGUUCUAAGGUGGGUUUUAAUCUGUUUUAAAGCUGAGAAGCUUCUCUCGCAAGAAGCACUGCUGACUGGUGUAACAACAGAAAUCUUACGUCUAAAUAGCUCAAGGAAGACCUCUUUAUAAGGUUCGAGAAACACAACAAAGUCAAGGAGAGUAGACAGUCUGUCCCUUCCACUUUUGUCUCUCCAAUCAAGAAGCCACUUGGUUUGAUGAACCUCAUGUUUGAGGUCCUCUACAUCUGACUCAAAGGUCGGAGCUCAGGCAAACAGAGGCUCCUCAUUCAUGUAUGUUGUACUCUUUGGGUUGAGAGACUGAACCCCUUGCAUUAUCUCGCAAUUCUUCUUUGAAAAACGCCUCUGCAGCUCAGCUGUGAGACUGUCAAGCACCUGAUAAAAGAUAGCUCUUUGGAAGCUCUCACCAUCACUUUGGUCACAAUUUUUCUGUCCUACAGUGCUCAUUGUCGAGUCGUGAAAUCUUAAGCUUGUUUUAGGCUGUCUUUUACACACUGUUUGUACACUUAUUUUGCAAUGCUCUGCAAUCUCUUUCCAUAGUUCUUCAAAGUAACCCUCACUUCUGUAGUCCUGUAAUGUGUCUGUAAGGGCACCUACUAGAUCCACAGCCCUUGUUAGGUCAAGAGAGAUUGAUUGGAGCAUGUCAGAAAGACAUUUGGCAUCACCAAGCACUUUACAAAUGGUAACCAAGAGCCCUAUGAAAUGUAAAUCUGUCUGAGAAAGAAGGCCCCUUGCCUCCACUGAUCUAUCACCACUAUUUUCAAGUGUGAUAUGUCUCCUGUCUCAGCCUCCAGUAUUUAUGCUACAGUAGUUUAUGCGUCGGGGGGCUAGGAUCAGUCUGUUAUAUCUGGAGCAUUUCUCCUGUCUUAUUCAGUGUCCUGUGUGAAUUUAAGUAUGCUCUCCCUAAUUCCCUCUUUCUUUCUCUCUGAGGACCUGAGCCCUAGGACCAUGCCUGAGGAAUACCUGGCCUGGUGACUCCUUGCUGUCCCCAGUCCACCUGGCCGUGCUGCUGCUCCAGUUUCAACUGUUCUGCCUGCAGCUAUGGAACCCUGACCUGUUCACUGGGCGUGCUACCUGUGGCUUGUGUACUUAGCAUUGCCACAUGCAUUCAUCAUUUUCUCUAUGAGAAGGUCAUACUUUGCUAUUUCCUCUAAGAUUGUCAAAAAAAUUACAGUUGUGAGAGUCAGACUCUCUCUGACCUCUCUGAGCUAUAUUUUGAGUGGCAGUUAAUAGGAGCACAUCUGCAAUUGUUUUAAUGUAAGUACAGUUUUCCUCCACUUUCUUUUUCCAGUCCUCAUUUCUGACAUCCAACAUUGAGUUGCUGUCAAUAGCCCUUUUAUGCUGAUUCCAAGCAUACAUAGCAUUGAUAUGAUGCUCUGCCUUCGAAUGGAACUUAAACCCAGAAUCUUUAAACAGCACCUUUUUCCAGUUACAGAAACCUGACUGAUAUGAAGGCAGAUUCAGGUGUAUUGGGCAGAGAAAAAUGCCUACAGGCAAAACAAUAAGUUGAAUGUUGACUUAGAAUAUUCAAGGCAUGAUUUGUCCUUACACCAGGAGCUGUUGAAAGCCCUUUUCCUAGUACCAUGCUGAGUUCUGGGAAAUGUUUUCAAUCAUGGCUGUACAGGACCCUCUUCUCUGGAUCUUGAAAUACAUGUUAAAUAAUAUGUUAUAUCUCCAUGUAAAUGUAUAAUUAAGGGAUCCACAAGAUUAGAUACUAACAGCUGCUAAAUAAAAAUGUGUAGUUUCAAGUAUAAGCCUGUCCUACCAUUGGGUCCUUUUGGAACAGUAUACCUGGUGCUUGAUGCAGUUGGAAGGGGCUCAAUGAAAUCUCCUGGCAACUCUGGCUCACUGUCUUACUCAGAGCCAGAGCUCUCAGUAUCAUCCCUUGAUACAUCUAUUACAUUAAAAUAACACAAGAACCAUUACUGUAUUAUCACAAUAAAAAUGCCACGGCCAUCAAAAGAAGAACACACAUGAAUCAACAACCAACACUUUAAAGUGAGACUUAAUCUGACAAUAAUUUAUUACAAACUGAAGCUAAACUUAAAUUCUGAACUUGGCAUGUGACUGACUGCCUGGUUGAUGUUUUGACCUGGUGGUGGUAGACUGGGUCCUUGCAAAUUCUGACCACACUGACUAGCCUCAGGUUAGGGAGCUGCUCUGGGGUCGGUGGGGAUGCAAGGGCUGGGAUCCGUUUGCACCUGAUCUGCCCGUUUGUGCUUCUUUAAAAAUUAGUCUCAUAGCUCUUUCUUUUCAUGUUUAAUUGACCUUAUGCAACAAUAAGACAGUCUAUGGUUACAUCUAAGCAUCCAAUUUCCCACAUUUUAGUCAAAUCUCAAUCAUCAAAAUCAAAUCAAAUCAAAUUUUAUUUGUCACAUACACAUGGUUAGCAGAUGUUAAUGCGAGUGUAGCGAAAUGCUUGUGCUUCUAGUUCCGACAAUGCAGUAAUAACGAACAAGUAAUCUAACUAACAAUUCCAAAAAAACUACUGUCUUAUUCCAACAGUGUCUUAGGGGAUAAAGACAUGUACAUAAGGAUAUAUGAAUGAGUGAUG